GACGAACGCUGGCGGCGUGCUUAAUACAUGCAAGUCAACUUGACUUUAGAUAGCAAUAUCGAAAAGUAGGGUGGCGCACGGGUGCGUAACGCGUAGGUAAUCUGCCCUGAGGUCUGACAUAACCCGUCGAAAGGCGGGCUAACAUCAGAUGAUAUAUAAUCACGACAUCGUGGAAAUAUCAAAUCUUCGGAGCCUUGGGAUGAGCCUGCGUCUGAUUAGGUAGUUGGCGGAGUAAUAGCCCACCAAGCCUACGAUCAGUAGCUGGUCUGAGAGGAUGAUCAGCCACACUGGAACCGAGACACGGUCCAGACUCCUACGGGAGGCAGCAGUAAGGAAUAUUGCUCAAUGGGGGAAACCCUGAAGCAGCAACGCCGCGUGAAGGAUGAAAUACUUUUGUAUGUAAACUUCUGUAAGAUGGGAAAAAUAUUCUCCUCGGGAGAAUUGAUUGUACCAUCAGAGUAAGCCCCGGCUAA
rnacentral:rRNA from 1 species